rnacentral:rRNA from 1 species
UACAGAGGGCUCAAGCGUUGUCCGGAUUCAUUGGGCGUAAAGGGUGCGUAGGUGGCGUGGUAAGUCGGGUGUGAAAUUUCGGAGCUUAACCCCGAAACUGCAUUCGAUACUGCUGUGCUUGAGGACUGGAGAGGAGACUGGAAUUUACGGUGUAGCAGUGAAAUGCGUAGAGAUCGUAAGGAAGACCAGUGGCGAAGGCGGGUCUCUGGACAGUUCCUGACACUGAGGCACGAAGGCCAGGGGAGCAAACGGG